CCUUGAUGGUAUAGUCGGUGUACUGUCUUGUACAUCUGUGGAAAUAGAUAAGCACUUCCAGGUUAGCAGUAGCCAGCAAAUUCUCAGUAAGACAGAACAGAAUGACGCCUGUUUUAACAGAACCAACAUUUUAGCUUGUUGAUGAAAUUGCUUCUAGCUCUGCUAGAGUGGUGUCUAUGUAAAUAAGCAGACUGAGACCUACUUCUGAUGAAUGUAGGAAAGGAAAUGCUUUCUUCUCAAUGCUAAAGUGAGCUGGAGACUUUCAUCUUUAGGGAUCAGCAUGACACUGAAGACAUUGAAGAAUAUGUUCAGGCUAUGGAUGUUCAGCAUUUGAUACAGUUACAAGUAUUUGGUUGAGAGGAGUCUGCACCUUCAGGUGGUCCCAGCUGUAGACUUUAUGCCACAGCCAGCCAUCACACUGUUUGAGUGAUAUCUUAUCACCAGAGGCAACAUCAGCGUGGAAAGAAAGGUGUUCUGCCUGCAUGACACUCAUCUGGAGUGGCAUUACUCAAUACCUUGCAAAAGAAUUCAAAUGAUCCAGCUCUAUCAUCUCACUCACCACUGAGGUUUUAACGGUGGCAUUAAAAAUGAGUGGAACUGCAGGUGGCAAAAUGCUUGGCAUCUCCCAGACUGCAGGUAGGAUCUGAACCAACUUGUUGCUAGAGCCAUGGGAUGGUAGGAAUGAGAUAGUAAACGAAAGUCAUUAGGAGACAGAAAGGAAAGUUUAAUUAUGAAUCACAUCAUGGCUUUCCUAAGAGUUUGGUCUUUCAGAAACAUUAAAAGCAUCACACAGACUUUUACCAAGUGCUUCUAAACACCAAGAGGACCUUAUUAAUCAUCCUGGGUGGGUUAAACACUCCAUCUCUUGCUGAUACAGUGCCAUAUCUUUUCCCUCAUCAUUCACAAAACCCCAUCAUUUGCUAUCUGACUUCAGACGUCUCUUGUAAAAGUGACUGAUAGGUUUUCAGCCUUGCAGAGAAAAGCCUGCCAGUUUCAAUCUCAAAUGUGCUUAAGACCAUGUGAAUAAUUUUCCAAGCCUUGGGUAUCAGAAUGAAUUUCUCAGAGUGAUAGUAGUAUGGAUGAGAUUCUGGCUUAAGGGCCUAAUGCCUAUCAUUAGGGAGCUAAAACUUCCCUGUACAGCAGUAUGAGAAGUUUAGCCAUGCAGAGGGACAUAAUUGGGGUAAGACUUAAAAUAGAAAGCUGGUAGCGGUAGAUGAGAGAGCUACAGAGGAGGGAAAAGAACUGUGAGAAAAUAUAUGAGAAAAAUAUUCAUAGGUCGCCUUGUGAUCAAACCACUCCCUUUCAUCUCAGCUGCCUACUUCUAGUAGCAACCUCUUGUAACAGCUGAUGUAGAAUCAUAGAGUCAUGAAGGCUGGAAAAAUCCUCUAAUAUCUGGUCCAAAUGUCCACCUACCACCAAUAUUGCCCAUACAUCUUGUUUAUUUGUGGAUGUUUCUGGGGCAGAUGGAAGAUGUUUUUUAUGCACAAUCUGUUUCUCUCUUUCACUACACCAGUGCUACCCAAGUUUGGGUUUCUCUUCUGCUCACACGCUUACAUUCUUACAUUCUUGGCAGAAAGCAUCUAGUGCCAUCUUGCCACAUAGAAGAUAUUGCUUGUUUGUCUGACAAUACCAUGUUUUUCCUUCCGUCAACUUCCGUUCACAAGAGCUUGCAUGCCUCGCUCACAAAAAUCUUCAUGGCUUAAGUGAAUCUGACUCUUAGCAGGAUCCUGAAGUUGUAUGUUUGGCAUAAAAAAGUCACAGGAAAGACAUGAUAGAAAGCACUUAAAUUUUUGUUUCCAAAAGCCACUGGUUUGAUUUCUAACCAUUUUUAUAGGCAAUGGGCACAGGUCUUCUACACACACAGUUUAGUAUAGUCAUAUUCUCCCACUCAGAAACACCAGUCAUCUCCCUUCUUUGGAAAGCUUUAAAGAUACUAGAUAAACUCAUUUCAAAAGUAGGCAUAUUUAUCAACCUGCCUUUCCAGAAUGUUCUCUGCUCAGCUUCAGCACUGAUCCCAGACAUCCUUCCCUUGGACAUGAGCGUGGCCACCCUUCCCUUGCCCAUAACCACUUCAGUAGUUAACUUCCAGUUGAGAGCCUGUAGGUUGCAGAGACUAGGGAAAAAAUAACGAUUAAAUAGAUUUAUUCUCAUGAAAGCUCGACAGAGCCUUUCUACACUGGGAUACCCCCAUUCAGCUGCACCUCAAAAUCUAGGGUUGUGCUUUUUUUCCCAUUCCAGAGCAUUUAUAUCCAUAUGAGGUACAGUAGAAAGUAAUAUUUGAGAAUUUUCCUAUCUAAUAGAGACGAUAGAGAAAUUAGUAUCUGAAUUUUGCAAAUUGCAUCAUCAGGUGAUCAUGGGGCCAAUCGUUACAAAUCUCCACAGAAGAUCAAAAGAAAAAUCCUUCAUAAUAUUUCUUCCCUGCCUUUAUCUUCUUUAUAUUCAAGAAUCCUUAUCCUUGUUUCAUUUAUAUUUUAUAUGGAUUUAGUGUAAUUAGUAUUGUAAGCAUCAUUUGGUUUGUCUGAUAGUAAUGACCUAGAGAAAAAAUAAAGUCCAUUGCAAAGGCCAUCCAUAUUAAAAGAAGAACACCCUCUUAUAAGUUUUAAAAAUUGCAAUAAGCUGAGCCAUGGAAUCCCCCUAAGUAAAGCAUUUAUAUCAGAUUUUCAGUCACAAUCGGUUUGUGGUUGUUCUUUCCUUAGGCUUAUAAAUGGAGGAGGUGAGUUCUUUAAGAUCCUUCCCUUACCUUAGAUGACUUCAAAAAUUGUUCCUCACACUUAAAUCUCCCUGAGGGCAGCCUGCUUAAUUUCUGUGCAAUGAGCACUGAUGUCUAACUAAUUUAAAUAGUAUCAAUUUUUAUAUUUUUAACUUUUCUUAUGAAAUGUUCCAAGACAUCUCUGAAAAGAAGGUUUUAGAUAGCUUUUCUUUCCUUCCUUUUUUUUUUUAAAAAAAAAAAAAAACAACAGUAAAAAGGCUCUGAUUUAAAGGCACUAAAGCAGAAGUUACUUGCUUAUGCCACUAACAUCUGCCCUUAGCUAUGAUUAAUUCUUAUAUGCAUAGAUUUCUACAGACAGUAAAGGCUGUUAUGAUAAUCUAGUCUGACUCCACUGCAUAACACAGACCAAAGACAUUCACCAAUCAUUUCUGCAUCCAGACUGUAACACUAAGCUAUAACUUCACUUUAAAAAAGCAUUCUAACUUGAUUGGAAGACCCAUCACAUCCCUUAGUAGGUAGACAGUAGAUAACAGCUAGUCAUCCUUAAAAUUUGUGUAUGCCUACUUUCUAUAGGGACUGCUCCAAAAGUAAUGCCUCUUAUUUUAUUUACCCAUGCCAUCAGAGGCAGACGUUGGUGGUACGGCAAGAGAAGUUGUACCUUCCCACAAAUAUUUUAUUACAUUUUGUCUGACAAAAUGGUAUCUGGCAUGGAAGUUUGUAUGGAAUAAAGGUGUGGAAUUGAAUUCCUCCAUGCAGAAAAAAAUGGCACCCACUGAUUUUCAUCAGUGCUUGCUGAACAUGGAUGUGAGCACAGUGAGAGGUGUGUGGUGUGUUUCAGCAGCAGAGACAGUGAUGUGAAAGACAAGCCACAUUCCGGAUGGCCAUGUGAAUUUUUAAGAGCGAGGCAUGCAGGCUCUUGUUCAUCAGUGGCAAAAAUGCACAGCUAAUGGUGGUGUCUAUGCUGAAAAAGAGCAUUUUGUAGCUGAGAAUUUUCACUAUCAAAUAGUGUUAUUGUACUCUUUCUAUCUGUUGCAGUUUCCACGGAAAUAAACAGAGGGCAUUACCCUCAGAGAGACCUACAUAUUUACAUAUAUCAAGAUUCAUUCUCUGAACUUUAAAUCACACUAUUCUGGAUUAAAUAGUCAUAAUUCUUCUACAAUUAAAUUGAUCAUUUGAUUGUGCUCUUGGUCUUUUACCCUUUCAAAUAGAAUAAAUAGACUUUUUUCAUUAUGCCUUCAUGAUAAAACCCAUUUUUCAGAACUCAUUAUUCUUGUAACUCUUUUCUAGUUGUUUUCAGUCUAUCUUCUCUUUGAACUCCCGACCCUAAACAUGAAGAACAUUUUCAAAUAAUAGUCUCAUUUAAUUUCACCAUUCCUACAAAAUAUCAAUCACUACAUUCAGCCCAGGGAAAGAGCUGGUAAAAGCACAAGUAUGCUUAAAUAAUAAAACAUAAUGGCAUGGAUAAACAUUACACUAAAUAUUAAAGACAAGAAAGCAAUUACCAGAGCUUGGAGUAGCCUUUCUUCAUUACUGCAUCCCUAUGGUAAUGUCCAACAGGCACUAAAUAAAUUCCGUUAAGCAAACUGAAUAUGGUUUAAAGUUAGAAAUAAUUGAUGUGAUUAAAUCCAUGUAUUCGUUCUGCUGACUUUAUCCUUCAUGCAGUACUCCUCAUACACAGGAAAAUGAAGAAGUAGGGUGCUUGGUGGUUCUGUAUUGGCUGUGCUAGAACACAAACCAUGUAAAUGUGUGAUAGUUUGAAUUUUAAGCUAAAGUAGAGCUUGAAUUUUUACGUUGCCAUCAACUGAUGUAAUUUAGCUUACCCAUGAAGGCCCUUUGUAUCAAGCUGUGUAGUUGUGCUUACAACAGGGUGUGUAACGCUGACAAUCAUUAACAUUUCUUUAGAUGUUCCAUCUGUGUUCCACAACCUCAUGUAGAUUAUGAGAUCUGAAACUGAUCAGAGAGAUCUCACUGAAACGAAAUACUGUAUCAAUUAUUUUUUCAGCCUUUUAUGGCUUAAUGUUUUUCCCUGUCUACAAUUCCUCAGUAUACAAUUUUUAUAAUUCGUUUGGAAACUUCAGACAUUUUCUUUGAUUAAAAACAAAAGAAAAAACACUUUUUAUCGGUCUUAGUUACAGCAAACUAAAAAUUACUUAGAUUAUAAGAUGUUACAUUGUCAGUGUUACUGUUCUUUUAAUAAUGUUAGCUUGAAAGGCCUCAGAUAUAUUACAUCAUGUUGUGGAGCCUUCACAUUCGAAUCUGAUAGCUCUGGGUGAGGUAUGACAAUGUCAUGAGUGACAGAGAGAUAUCUCCACUGUAUCAGAAGAUACCCAUCCUUCUGACAACUACCACUUCAUGUCACCCCCGUGGAUUUCCUGAUAUAAGUUUGACAAACACCACUGCACCUUCGCUUCUGAAUGAUUCCAUUUUUGUGAUAGACAAAAAACCAUUUUCUAUGACUUUAUUUUCAGAAAUAAUUGAAAUACUUUGGCUUACAUUUUCUAAAAAUGUUUCAAUAUGUAUGCACCACAGAAAUCAUGUAUCUCAAAAGCUGAAAUUUACCCAUGUUAUGAGCAACUGAAACCAGGAAUGUUUAAUCCAAGACACUGGGAAUCCUCAAAGAGGUGGUGUUGCUAAGCCCACCUAUAGUAGGGGAGAAAAAUUUUACUGGAGAUCAGAAGAAUGGUGUCACAGUGCUUGUGAUGAUACCUGGUGCUGAGGGUGAAACUGUGAGUUUCUUUUUCUCCCUUCUUCUCAGCAAUAUUCUCAUUUCUCUCCAUCAUAUUCAGAAAGUUGUGGCUGUCAGACAGUUCCCAGUGACUGGAAAAAGGGAAACAUCUUUCCCAUUUUUAAGUAAGGGAGAAAGGAAGACGUGGGGAACUGCAAGCUGGCGAGUCUCACUUCUGUGCCUGGGAAGGCACAUGUGAGAUGAGGAAAUGAACCGAGACAGCCAGCAUGGUUUACCGAGGGCAGAUCAUGGCAGGACAAGGGCGAAUGGCUUUAAACAAAAAGAGAGGAGAUUUAGGUUAGAAGUUAGGUGGAAAAUCUUUACUCAAAGGGCACUGAGGCUCUGGCACAGUCUGCCAGAGAGUUAUGGGUGCCUCAUCUCUGGAGGUUGGAUGGGGCCCUGAGUAGCCCAACGUGGGGGGCAACCAGCCCAUGGCAGGGGGUUGAACUGAAUGAGCUUCAAGUUCCCUUCCAACCUAAGCCAUUCUGUGAUUCUGUGAUUCUACGUUUCUUUGUUCAUACAAUUUACUGUAACAUUUGCAGCACUGUUGUGCCUACCUCAAGGAUCUGAAUUUCAGUCUGACAACACUACAACAAUUCAGAACCGUCAUCUCAGUAUAUUCACAGCAGCAAUGCCAGCCAUGUGCCCAGGUCCCCUGGAUUGCUCUAUGAUCUUCUCUCAGAAGAUGACAUAACUUUAUUAACUACAUUUAGUAACCAACUCACAAAACAAGAUGACUCAGUUGCAAAGCCAACUGAUGCAUGAUAUCAAGGAAACCUGAGAACUUUUGCUUCUGAGUAGAUUUGGCAACUUUCAAUUUUGUUUAUUGAGUUUGUAAUUUUAAUUUUGUUAAUCAAACAAAAACAAAUGUGAGAACUAAGAAUAGAUCUGUAUCUUUAAAUGCAUUCUGUUCUGAUAAAAAUUGUUUUGAUAAAAACGGCCAUCUGCUCAAAUCUCAUUUCUCCUUUUUUUUUUUUUUUCUGCAAGAGUUUUAAACAUAUCUGAAGAGAAG
ensembl:lncRNA